rnacentral:rRNA from 1 species
UGGGGAAUAUUGCACAAUGGGCGCAAGCCUGAUGCAGCCAUGCCGCGUGUAUGAAGAAGGCCUUCGGGUUGUAAAGUACUUUCAGCGAGGAGGAAGGCGUUGUGGUUAAUAACCGCAACGAUUGACGUUACUCGCAGAAGAAGCACCGGCUAACUCCGUGCCAGCAGCCGCGGUAAUACGGAGGGUGCAAGCGUUAAUCGGAAUUACUGGGCGUAAAGCGCACGCAGGCGGUCUGUCAAGUCGGAUGUGAAAUCCCCGGGCUCAACCUGGGAACUGCAUCCGAAACUGGCAGGCUAGAGUCUUGUAGAGGGGGGUAGAAUUCCAGGUGUAGCGGUGAAAUGCGUAGAGAUCUGGAGGAAUACCGGUGGCGAAGGCGGCCCCCUGGACAAAGGCUGACGCUCAGGUGCGAAAGCGUGGGGAGCAAACA